AGCGUACACGGUGGAUGCCCUGGCAGUCAGAGGCGAUGAAGGACGUGCUAAUCUGCGAAAAGCGUCGGUAAGGUGAUAUGAACCGUUAUANCCGGCGAUGUCCGAAUGGGGAAACCCAGUGCAAUUCGUUGCACUAUCGUUAACUGAAUACAUAGGUUAACGAGGCGAACCGGGGGAACUGAAACAUCUAAGUACCCCGAGGAAAAGAAAUCAACCGAGAUUCCCCCAGUAGCGGCGAGCGAACGGGGAGCAGCCCAGAGUCUGAAUCAGCUUGUGUGUUAGUGGAACGGUCUGGAAAGUCCGACGGUACAGGGUGAUAGUCCCGUACACCAAAAUGCACAGGUUGUGAACUCGAAGAGUAGGGCGGGACACGUGGUAUCCUGUCUGAAUAUGGGGGGACCAUCCUCCAAGGCUAAAUACUCCUGACUGACCGAUAGUGAACCAGUACCGUGAGGGAAAGGCGAAAAGAACCCCGGCGAGGGGAGUGAAAAAGAACCUGAAACCGUGUACGUACAAGCAGUGGGAGCACCUUCGGGUGUGACUGCGUACCUUUUGUAUAAUGGGUCAGCGACUUAUAUUCUGUAGCAAGGUUAACCGUAUAGGGGAGCCGCAGGGAAACCGAGUCUUAACUGGGCGUUAAGUUGCAGGGUAUAGACCCGAAACCCGGUGAUCUAGCCAUGGGCAGGUUGAAGGUUGGGUAACACUAACUGGAGGACCGAACCGACUAAUGUUGAAAAAUUAGCGGAUGACUUGUGGCUGGGGGUGAAAGGCCAAUCAAACCGGGAGAUAGCUGGUUCUCCCCGAAAGCUAUUUAGGUAGCGCCUCGUGAAUUCAUCUUCGGGGGUAGAGCACUGUUUCGGCUAGGGGGUCAUCCCGACUUACCAACCCGAUGCAAACUACGAAUACCGAAGAAUGUUAUCACGGGAGACACACGGCGGGUGCUAACGUCCGUCGUGAAGAGGGAAACAACCCAGACCGCCAGCUAAGGUCCCAAAGUCAUGGUUAAGUGGGAAACGAUGUGGGAAGGCACAGACAGCCAGGAUGUUGGCUUAGAAGCAGCCAUCAUUUAAAGAAAGCGUAAUAGCUCACUGGUCGAGUCGGCCUGCGCGGAAGAUGUAACGGGGCUAAACCAUGCACCGAAGCUGCGGCAGCGACACUAUGUGUUGUUGGGUAGGGGAGCGUUCUGUAAGCCUGCGAAGGUGUGCUGUGAGGCAUGCUGGAGGUAUCAGAAGUGCGAAUGCUGACAUAAGUAACGAUAAAGCGGGUGAAAAGCCCGCUCGCCGGAAGACCAAGGGUUCCUGUCCAACGUUAAUCGGGGCAGGGUGAGUCGACCCCUAAGGCGAGGCCGAAAGGCGUAGUCGAUGGGAAACAGGUUAAUAUUCCUGUACUUGGUGUUACUGCGAAGGGGGGACGGAGAAGGCUAUGUUAGCCGGGCGACGGUUGUCCCGGUUUAAGCAUGUAGGCUGGUUGUCCAGGCAAAUCCGGAUAAUCAAGGCUGAGGUGUGAUGACGAGGCACUACGGUGCUGAAGUAACAAAUGCCCUGCUUCCAGGAAAAGCCUCUAAGCAUCAGGUAACAUCAAAUCGUACCCCAAACCGACACAGGUGGUCAGGUAGAGAAUACCAAGGCGCUUGAGAGAACUCGGGUGAAGGAACUAGGCAAAAUGGUGCCGUAACUUCGGGAGAAGGCACGCUGGUGUGUAGGUGAAGCCCCUGCGGGUGGAGCUGAGACCAGUCGAAGAUACCAGCUGGCUGCAACUGUUUAUUAAAAACACAGCACUGUGCAAACACGAAAGUGGACGUAUACGGUGUGACGCCUGCCCGGUGCCGGAAGGUUAAUUGAUGGGGUUAUCCGUAAGGAGAAGCUCUUGAUCGAAGCCCCGGUAAACGGCGGCCGUAACUAUAACGGUCCUAAGGUAGCGAAAUUCCUUGUCGGGUAAGUUCCGACCUGCACGAAUGGCGUAAUGAUGGCCAGGCUGUCUCCACCCGAGACUCAGUGAAAUUGAACUCGCUGUGAAGAUGCAGUGUACCCGCGGCAAGACGGAAAGACCCCGUGAACCUUUACUAUAGCUUGACACUGAACAUUGAGCCUUGAUGUGUAGGAUAGGUGGGAGGCUUUGAAGCGUGGACGCCAGUCUGCGUGGAGCCAACCUUGAAAUACCACCCUUUAAUGUUUGAUGUUCUAACGUUGGCCCCUUACCGGGGUUGCGGACAGUGUCUGGUGGGUAGUUUGACUGGGGCGGUCUCCUCCCAAAGCGUAACGGAGGAGCACGAAGGUUAGCUAAUCCUGGUCGGACAUCAGGAGGUUAGUGCAAUGGCAUAAGCUAGCUUGACUGCGAGCGUGACGGCGCGAGCAGGUGCGAAAGCAGGUCAUAGUGAUCCGGUGGUUCUGAAUGGAAGGGCCAUCGCUCAACGGAUAAAAGGUACUCCGGGGAUAACAGGCUGAUACCGCCCAAGAGUUCAUAUCGACGGCGGUGUUUGGCACCUCGAUGUCGGCUCAUCACAUCCUGGGGCUGAAGUAGGUCCCAAGGGUAUGGCUGUUCGCCAUUUAAAGUGGUACGCGAGCUGGGUUUAGAACGUCGUGAGACAGUUCGGUCCCUAUCUGCCGUGGGCGCUGGAGAAUUGAGGGGGGCUGCUCCUAGUACGAGAGGACCGGAGUGGACGCAUCACUGGUGUUCGGGUUGUCAUGCCAAUGGCACUGCCCGGUAGCUAAAUGCGGAAGAGAUAAGUGCUGAAAGCAUCUAAGCACGAAACUUGCCCCGAGAUGAGUUCU
rnacentral:rRNA from 1 species